rnacentral:tRNA from 1 species
GUUCCUAUAGCUCAGCUGGAUAGAGCGUCCGCCUCCUAAGCGGACGGCCGCGCGUUCGAAUCGCGCUAGGAACG